UGAAUGAACAAGAACCUUUCACAAAAUGUCAUCAAAUAUAAUAAGAGAUGUUUCAUAUUUUCACCAAUCAAUAUGUAUACUCUCAAUAAUGGAAAGGCAACGGAAACAACAAAAAGAGAACAUCCUUCAGUAGAUCCCUUUAUUUUAUUAGUUCCUCAGAAGCUAGAAUCUUUCAUUGUAUCAAAACUCAAAAUUAACCAAAACUACUCAGCGGUAGAGGCUUUCGGAUCUCAGAUUCUCGGCAAUCUCAGUUUCCCAUCGAUCACCAUUCUCGAGAAGCUUCUCCUUGUCGUAAAGAAGUUCCUCAUGAGUUUCGGUUGCAAAUUCAAAGUUGGGUCCUUCAACAAUUGCAUCAACAGGGCAGGCUUCUUGGCAGAAUCCACAGUAAAUGCAUUUUGUCAUGUCAAUAUCAUACCUAGUUGUGCGACGACUUCCAUCCUCUCGCUCCUCGGCCUCGAUGGUGAUGGCUUGGGCAGGGCAAAUAGCUUCACAAAGUUUACAUGCAAUGCAUCUUUCCUC
rnacentral:misc_RNA from 1 species